rnacentral:rRNA from 1 species
UGCGUAGGUGGCGCCGUAAGUGGGGUGUGAAAUCCCGGGGCUUAACCCCGGGACUGCAUUCCAUACUGCGGUGCUUGAGGACUGGAGAGGAGACUGGAAUUUACGGUGUAGCAGUGAAAUGCGUAGAGAUCGUAAGGAAGACCAGUGGCGAAGGCGGGUCUCUGGACAGUUCCUGACACUGAGGCACGAAGGCCAGGGGAGGCAAAACG